GAGGAGUUUGUUUUUGAACAUCGGACGCCAAUUGGCUCCGUGUGUGAGAAAACGCUGGUUUAAACAGAGGGGGCGGGAGCGAGGUCAGUUUGAAUCAGCAGCUCGACCCGAUAACGCACCAACGCACGCAUCGAAGCGACCAUGGCCUCCCAGAACAUGGACCCCGCGGCGGCAGCAGCCUCGUCCACAGCCGCUCUCAAGGGCAGCGAGAGCGGCGGCAGCGCGGCCAGAAGCUCGGUGUCCAAACGGCUGCAGCAGGAACUCAUGACUCUGAUGAUGUCAGGUGAUAAAGGGGAUCUCUGCUUUUCCGGAGUCUGACAAUCUCUUCAAGUGGAUCGGGACCAUUGACGGCGCUCAGGGGACGGUGUAUGAAGGCCUCAGGUACCGAUUGUCGUUGGAGUUUCCCGCUGGUUACCCAUAUCAGGCGCCUCGUGUCAAGUUCGUCACUUCCUGUUUUCACCCUAACGUGGACGAACAGGGUUUCAUCUGUCUCGACAUCCUGAAGGACAAAUGGUCGGCGCUCUACGACGUGCGCUCCAUCCUUCUGUCCAUCCAGAGUCUGCUGGGAGAACCAAACAACGAGAGUCCGUUAAACACGACUGCUGCUGAAAUGUGGGACAACCAAGAAGCCUUUAAAACCCAUCUACAGUCAACCUUCCAGAUUUGAUGCAAUCCACGUUUUAUUCUUCCCGUUCUGUCUAUUUGCCUUGUGUGUUUUGUAAAAUAUUUUUAUGUUUGUCCAUCUCGCCGUAUAUCAAUAAAGUUCUUAAAACAA